AGAGUUUGAUCCUGGCUCAGGACGAACGCUGGCGGCGUGCUUAACACAUGCAAGUCGAGCGGAAAGGCCCCUUCAGGGGUACUCGAGCGGCGAACGGGUGAGUAACACGUGAGCAACCUGCCCCUGACUCUGGGAUAAGCCUGGGAAACUGGGUCUAAUACUGGAUAUGACCAGCCUCCGCAUGGUGUGUUGGUGGAAAGUUUUUCGGUUGGGGAUGGGCUCGCGGCCUAUCAGCUUGUUGGUGGGGUGAUGGCCUACCAAGGCGACGACGGGUAACCGGCCUGAGAGGGCGACCGGUCACACUGGGACUGAGACACGGCCCAGACUCCUACGGGAGGCAGCAGUGGGGAAUAUUGCGCAAUGGGCGGAAGCCUGACGCAGCGACGCCGCGUGGGGGAUGACGGCCUUCGGGUUGUAAAGCUCUUUUACCAGGGAUGAUAAUGACAGUACCUGGAGAAUAAGCUCCGGCUAACUCCGUGCCAGCAGCCGCGGUAAUAC
rnacentral:rRNA from 1 species